rnacentral:rRNA from 1 species
CCAGCCCGCUCAGAAACUCAAAUGAAUUGACGGGGGCCCGCACAAGCGGAGGAGCAUGUGGUUUAAUUCGAUGAUACGCGAGGAACCUUACCUGGGCUCGAACGUAAGAUGACUGUAGGUGAAAGCUUACAUCUCUUCGGAGCAUUUUACGAGGUGCUGCAUGGUUGUCGUCAGCUCGUGCCGUGAGGUGUCGGGUUAAGUCCCAUAACGAGCGCAACCCCUACCUUUAGUUGCCAUCAGGUUAAGCUGGGGACUCUAAAGGAACUGCCUACGCAAGUAGUGAGGAAGGCGGGGAUGACGUCAAAUCAGCACGGCCCUUACGUCCAGGGCUACACACGUGCUACAAUGGCCGAUACAGAGGGCAGCUACCUGGUGACAGGAUGCAAAUCUCCAAAGUCGGUCUCAGUUCGGAUCGGAGUCUGCAACCCGACUCCGUGAAGUUGGAUUCGCUAGUAAUCGCGCAUCAGCCAUGGCGCGGUGAAUACGUUCCCGGGCCUU